rnacentral:rRNA from 1 species
UACGUAGGUGGCGAGCGUUGUCCGGAUUUACUGGGCGUAAAGAGCGCGCAGGUGGUUAAUUAAGUCUGAUGUGAAAGCCCACGGCUUAACCGUGGAGGGUCAUUGGAAACUGGUUGACUUGAGUGCAGAAGAGGGAAGUGGAAUUCCAUGUGUAGCGGUGAAAUGCGUAGAGAUAUGGAGGAACACCAGUGGCGAAGGCGGCUUCCUGGUCUGCAACUGACACUGAGGCGCGAAAGCGUGGGGAGCAAACAGG